UUACAAAUAAACCCGUGUCGGAAAUAACAUAUUACCGGGUAUAAAGAAUAAACAUGCCUUCGGUGAUUCAAGUUAGUUUGAAAUAAUAAGAGAUGCUGUAGUUACAAGUGACUUAUGUGCAACAGAGACCACAAUAUGGAACUACUGUGCAAGAUACCUAAAAUAUGCCCCUGUUAUAUCUGGGAAUGUGUCUAGCAGAAGGACUAAACUUUUAAAUAAAAUUAAUUGUUCA